UUAUCAUCUUUUAGCAUUUUGUUUCUUUUAAUAGUUUUUAUGUCCGUGUUUUUUUUAUUAAAUCCAUCAUGCAUGCAAAACCAUUUUAAAAAAUCAUACUUUUCUCGAUUUAAUAUCGAGUCCCUUUUUCACACCCUUGUAAGUCGAUUGCUUUCUUAAGCAUCGCCGCCAACCUCACAUAGCUUACUCUUGGGCUUUCUUACAAUGAGCCGGUUCUCUUGCACUUACACUCAUGCAUUAUUUAUUUGGGUCCGAUUCAAUUGUUUCAUGAUUGUUUUAAUCCCCAUUUGACAAAUGUACCCCACUCCCCCAAUGUGUAAUAAUCCUGUACUAUUUUAUUUCUUUACUUGUUUGGCUGUGAAGUUAGCUACUAACACAAGAAUAAAAUCCACAAUUUCAAAAAAGAUCAAAAAUAAGACUCGAUCCAAUGUCGAGUAUUUUCUCAAUAAACAAAUCAACUCAUUUCUCCCUCCUAUUCCAUCCCAUUUCAAAACUUCAUCAAAUGCUUGAUCCAACGUCAAGCCAUUUUUUCAUAAUAAAAACUCAAAAAAUAUUAAUUCGUAUCCAAGACUUUUUCAAUAAAGAUGGAAAUGGAACGUGGUGUAUACCACGCACUCCUGAGAUUAGGAUUCGAGAUGUAUAUCUCGCCAAUCCUAGCUCUCGCCAUCAUCCAAUUUACCCACUUUGUUCUCCCAAACACUCAAUCAAAUCUUUUCUCCAACACCCAUCAAUACUUGAUCUAGGUCAAGUCAUUUUCACAACAAAACUCAAAAAAUAUUAAUCCCUAUCUAAACACUUUUCAAUAAAGGUGGAAAUGGA
rnacentral:lncRNA from 1 species